AAAGCUCAAAUUUAAAAUCNGNCNGUUCUNCCGUNCGAGUUGUAGUCUGGAGAAGUGUUAUNUGCGUCGGACCGUGUACAAGUCUCCUGGAAUGGAGCGUCAUAGAGGGUGAGAAUCCCGUCCAUGACACGGACGCCCGAUGCUUUGUGAGGCACUCUCAAAGAGUCGAGUUGUUUGGGAAUGCAGCUCAAAAUGGGUGGUAAAUUCCAUCUAAAGCUAAAUAUUGGCGAGAGACCGAUAGCGAACAAGUACCGUGAGGGAAAGAUGAAAAGCACUUUGGAAAGAGAGUUAAACAGUACGUGAAAUUGUUGAAAGGGAAACGCUUGAAGUCAGUCGCGUCCCGUGGAACUCAGCCUAGCCUCGGCUUGGUGUACUUUCCAUGAGACGGGUCAACAUCAAUUUCGGCCGGUGGAAAANGGCAAAGGGAAUGUAGCGUCGUUUCGGCGGCGUGUUAUAGCCCCUUGUCGCAUACGCUGGNUGGGAUUGAGGACUGCAGCACGCCCUUGUGGCCGGGGUUCGCCCACGUAACGUGCUUAGGAUGUUGGCAUAAUGGCUUUAAGCGACCCGUCUUGAAACACGGACCAAGGAGUCUAACAUGCUUGCGAGUGUUCGGGUGGAAAACCCUUGCGCGUAAUGAAAGUGAAAGUUGGGAACCUCCGCAAGGGGGUGCACCGACGCCCGGCCCUGACGUUCUCUGACGGUGCUGCGGUAGAGCAAGUAUGUUGGGACCCGAAAGAUGGUGAACUAUGCCUGAAUAGGGCGAANCCNGAGGAAACUCUGGUGGANGCUCGUANCGAUUCUGACGUGCAAAUCGAUCGUCAAAUUUGGGUAUAGGGGCGAAAGANUAAUCGAACCAUCUAGUANCUGGUUCCU
rnacentral:rRNA from 1 species